CAGCAGCCGCGGUAAUACGAAGGGUGCAAGCGUUACUCGGAAUUACUGGGCGUAAAGCGUGCGUAGGUGGUGGUUUAAGUCCGUUGUGAAAGCCCUGGGCUCAACCUGGGAAUUGCAGUGGAUACUGGGUCACUAGAGCGUGGUAGAGGAUAGUGGAAUUUCCGGUGUAGCAGUGAAAUGCGUAGAGAUCGGAAGGAACAUCUGUGGCGAAGGCGACUAUCUGGGCCAACACUGACACUGAGGCACGAAAGCGUGGGGAGCAAACAGGAUUAGAUACCCCCGUAGUCCCUGUCUCUUAUAC
rnacentral:rRNA from 1 species